rnacentral:rRNA from 1 species
CAUGCAAGUCGAACGAGUUCUGAUUAUUGAAAGGUGCUUGCAUCUUGAUUUAAUUUUGAACGAGUGGCGGACGGGUGAGUAACACGUGGGUAACCUGCCCUUAAGUGGGGGAUAACAUUUGGAAACAGAUGCUAAUACCGCAUAAAUCCAAGAACCGCAUGGUUCUUGGCUGAAAGAUGGCGUAAGCUAUCGCUUUUGGAUGGACCCGCGGCGUAUUAGCUAGUUGGUGAGGUAACGGCUCACCAAGGCAAUGAUACGUAGCCGAACUGAGAGGUUGAUCGGCCACAUUGGGACUGAGACACGGCCCAAACUCCUACGGGAGGCAGCAGUAGGGAAUCUUCCACAAUGGACGCAAGUCUGAUGGAGCAACGCCGCGUGAGUGAAGAAGGCUUUCGGGUCGUAAAACUCUGUUGUUGGAGAAGAAUGGUCGGCAGAGUAACUGUUGUCGGCGUGACGGUAUCCAACCAGAAAGCCACGGCUAACUACGUGCCAGCAGCCGCGGUAAUACGUAGGUGGCAAGCGUUAUCCGGAUUUAUUGGGCGUAAAGCGAGCGCAGGCGGUUUUUUAAGUCUGAUGUGAAAGCCCUCGGCUUAACCGAGGAAGUGCAUCGGAAACUGGGAAACUUGAGUGCAGAAGAGGACAGUGGAACUCCAUGUGUAGCGGUGAAAUGCGUAGAUAUAUGGAAGAACACCAGUGGCGAAGGCGGCUGUCUGGUCUGUAACUGACGCUGAGGCU